rnacentral:rRNA from 1 species
AUUGAACGCUGGCGGCAUGCCUUACACAUGCAAGUCGAACGGUAACAGGUCCUCGGAUGCUGACGAGUGGCGAACGGGUGAGUAAUACAUCGGAACGUGCCUAGUAGUGGGGGAUAACUACUCGAAAGAGUGGCUAAUACCGCAUGAGAUCUACGGAUGAAAGCAGGGGAUCGCAAGACCUUGUGCUACUAGAGCGGCCGAUGGCAGAUUAGGUAGUUGGUGGGAUAAAAGCUUACCAAGCCGACGAUCUGUAGCUGGUCUGAGAGGACGAUCAGCCACACUGGGACUGAGACACGGCCCAGACUCCUACGGGAGGCAGCAGUGGGGAAUUUUGGACAAUGGCGCAAGCCUGAUCCAGCAAUGCCGCGUGCAGGAUGAAGGCCUUCGGGUUGUAAACUGCUUUUGUACGGAACGAAAAGCCCCGGGUUAAUACCCUGGGGUCAUGACGGUACCGUAAGAAUAAGCACCGGCUAACUACGUGCCAGCCGCCGCCGUAA